rnacentral:misc_RNA from 1 species
GGAAGUAAAGUCUAACAAGGUUUCCGUAGGUGAACCUGCGGAAGGAUCAUUAUUGUAUAACCGAGGUGCGAGGGCUGUCGCUGACCCGAAAGGUCGUGCACGCCCGAGUGCCCUCACACACAUCCAUCUCACCCCUAUGUGCACCACCGCGUGGGUCCCCCUUUGGCUUGUUCGGAGGGGGGCUUACGUUUUCACACAAACUUUGUAUGCAGUGUAGAAUGUAUUUUUUGUUUUUGCGAUCACGCAAUCAAUACAACUUUCAACAACGGGUCUCUUGGCUCUC